rnacentral:rRNA from 1 species
UACAGAGGGGGCGAGCGUUGUUCGGAAUUACUGGGCGUAAAGGGCGCGUAGGCGGCCUUCUAAGUCGAACGUGAAAUCCCCGGGCUCAACCCGGGAACUGCGUCCGAUACUGGGAGGCUUGAAUCCGGGAGAGGGAUGUGGAAUUCCAGGUGUAGAGGUGAAAUUCGUAGAUAUCGGGAGGAACACCAGUGGCGAAGGCGGCGAUCUGGGAAGAUACUGACGCUGAGGUGCGAAAGCGUGGGGAGCAAACAGG